UGGAUAGCUCAGUUGGUUAGAGCAUGGUACUGAUAAUGCCAAGGUUCGAUCCCAAAUGGGACAG
rnacentral:tRNA from 1 species